AUGCCGAGCCUCGCCGCCGCCGCCGCCGCCACCGCCCGCCGCGCCGGCGGGGCGCUGCGCCACGGCGUGCUGAUGGGCGGGCUUCGUUCGCUCUCCUCCCUCCAGCCUUCAUCCUCUACCGCCGCCGCGGCCGCCGCCAACGAGGAGGUUCUCGUCGAAGGCAAGGCCAGCGCGCGCGCCGCCGUGCUCAACCGCCCCGGCCACCUCAACGCGCUCACAACCACAAUGGGUGGUAAACUCAAUAAGUUCUAUGCGUCAUGGGAGGACAACCCUGAUAUUGGCUUUGUUAUGAUGAAGGGCAGCGGCCGAGCAUUCUGUGCUGGUGGGGAUGUUGUUAAGAUGCACCAGCUUAUUGGUGAAGGCAAGUUGGAUGAGUGUAAGGAUUUUUUCAAGACCCUGUACAGUUUUAUUUAUGUUCUAGGCACCUACUUGAAGCCACAUGUUGCCAUUCUUGAUGGUGUUACCAUGGGUGGUGGUGCAGGUGUUUCCAUUCCUGGAACAUUUCGCGUUGCCACUGAUAGAACGGUAUUUGCAACUCCAGAAGUACACAUAGGAUUCCAUCCUGAUGCUGCUGCCUCCUUUUAUUUGUCCCAUCUGACUGGUCAUGUUGGUGAAUAUUUGGCCUUGACUGGUGACAAACUUAAGGGAGUUGAUAUGAUUGCACUUGGCCUAGCUACUCACUAUUCCAUGAGUGGUCAUUUGCAUCUGGUUGAUGAACGCCUUGCAACAUUGUUAACUGAUGAUCCAUCAGUUAUUGAUACAUCCCUUGCACAUUAUGGAGAUCUUGUGUACCCAGAUAAGGAUAGCAUUGUUCAUAGGCUGGAGGUUAUAGACAAAUGUUUCAGCCUUGAGACAGUGGAGGAGAUUGUGGAUGCCAUGGAAAGUGAAGCAGCUAGGUUAAAUGAAGAUUGGUGUACCUUGGCCCUGAAACGGUUGAAAGAGGCUUCUCCUCUUGCAUUGAAAGUUUCACUGCGAUCGAUACGUGAAGGUAGAUACCAAACACUUGAUGAAUGCCUUGUGCGUGAAUACCGCAUGUCCAUGAAUGGAAUCUCAGAGAAAUUUUCUCAUGAAUUCCGUGAGGGUGUCAGAGCACGUCUUGUGGAUAAGGACCUGGCUCCAAAGUGGGAUCCACCUGCCCUUGAGUAUGUAUCAGCGGACAUGGUUGAUUCUUACUUCGCUCCCUUGGGUGAAUUUGAACCCGAGUUGACACUGCCUACUGAAUCGCGAGAGGCAUUCGUAUGAUGAUAAUUCCAAGCAGCGGCUGUUGUUUGAAGCCUGAUAGAUUUUUGAACCCACUGUCCAUUGUUGGCAACACAAAAUAACUAUAGGAUUAGCAAUCUUUUCCUGUGACAUAUACUCCUUGUCUAUCGAAGGAACUGAUAUCCAAGGACACACCAACUUAAUCAUCCUUGGUGUUUGGGCCCUAAGUGGGCCGGAAUGGGACUGCGACAUACGUUGGGUGGCAGGUUGAGUUGGACCGGAACGGAGUUGCAGGCCGUACGUGGGAAGAAGUUGGACUGUUCCGGGGACACAGGAAAGGAAGCUGCCGUGUGUUUAGGCUAGAAAACGGGCCUUGUUUAUACCUACGCUAAUCCACCGGAUUCUACUUUGCUGAUCCUUGCUUGGCAACGCAUCAUCUCAUAUGUCAUAAGUUCAUAACCGAACUGAUGGUGUAUUAGGACUCUUUGUUAGAGAACUAGACAUAUAUAAACUGGUCCAGCCUUUGAACCUUUGAUGGUGGAUCGGGGAUACUCCCUUUGUUUCAUAAUGUAAAACUUUCUAGCCUUACGUAGAGUCAU